UAAGAAAAGGUGACAUCCUUCCCUCUUUGU
rnacentral:piRNA from 1 species